ACUAUUGGAAACGAUAGCUAAUACCGCAUAACAAUGGAUGACCCAUGUCAUUUAUUUGAAAGGGGCAAAUGCUCCACUACAAGAUGGACCUGCGUUGUAUUAGCUAGUAGGUGAGGUAACGGCUCACCUAGGCGACGAUACAUAGCCGACCUGAGAGGGUGAUCGGCCACACUGGGACUGAGACACGGCCCAGACUCCUACGGGAGGCAGCAGUAGGGAAUCUUCGGCAAUGGGGGCAACCCUGACCGAGCAACGCCGCGUGAGUGAAGAAGGUUUUCGGAUCGUAAAGCUCUGUUGUAAGUCAAGAACGAGUGUGAGAGUGGAAAGUUCACACUGUGACGGUAGCUUACCAGAAAGGGACGGCUAACUACGUGCCAGCAGCCGCGGUAAUACGUAGGUCCCGAGCGUUGUCCGGAUUUAUUGGGCGUAAAGCGAGCGCAGGCGGUUUGAUAAGUCUGAAGUUAAAGGCUGUGGCUCAACCAUAGUUCGCUUUGGAAACUGUCAAACUUGAGUGCAGAAGGGGAGAGUGGAAUUCCAUGUGUAGCGGUGAAAUGCGUAGAUAUAUGGAGGAACAC
rnacentral:rRNA from 1 species